ensembl:lncRNA
CUGGACCUGCUGCUAUAUUGAUAUUGAUCACUACACACUUUAUACACUUUUCUCAGACAGGCAUGAACAUUUUCACACUUUUGUCUUUUGUUUAAACACUCAAAGUUAAAACCUUCGUAGAAAAAUAAGUCCAGUAUUACAGAAUGAAACCAAAGUCUCCGGCAGGAGCCUUUGACGGUGCAAAAUGUUUCGUCGAUAUUGUUGUUUGUUGGGAAGAAAACUUACAAACAUACAGUACAGCACAGAGUCACACUGCUAGGAUCGAAGAUUUAUGUAAAUUUGACAAGCUGAACGUAUUCUGUACUGUACAGGAGACACGGCACCAGAUUGAUUGACAAUGGUCUACAGCCAAUCAGGACGCAGAACACAAUGCGCUAUAAAUAAAUAAAUAAAGAAGCAUGCAAAACUGCACAAGAAAAAUCCGCAAAACAGCGAGGGCGAACCGCGUUACAGUGAGGGACCACUGUACUUAGUUUUUCAGGACAGUUUUUCAAAAUAUAAAACGACAUAAUUUAUCAAAAUGUAUCAUAUACAGAUUAAAUAAGUGAUUAAUGCAUCAAAUGUAACCUCUACAUCUGUUUUUGUGCAGUUUGUGGCAGGAUGUGUUGCUAGCUAAAGCUCCAGCUGAUGAAUUUCCAGGGAGAGAAAAGAGUGUACGCUAACUUCAUUUACAAACAUGGAUUAGCACUGCUCGGUCACAUGAUAUUAUAUUUGGUGUUUUCUGCAGGUGCUUUAUUGCAGCUGUUAGCUACUAUACGUAGGAAAUUAUGUUAAUGAGAUCUCACACCAGAACGCUAAAGUUGCAGAACAAACAGGUGGACAUGGAUCACUACGAGUUCAUCACUGAGACCAAGAACUUUCAUACAUAAAGUCUGUGAAGGUUCUCAGUCAUCCAGCUCAUUGUAGUCCAAGGAGCUGGGAAAGAAAAGCAUCUGGACUUUUUAAAGUUUCCUUGAAGACGUUUUAUCCAAGAAGCUUCUUCAGCUCUACGAGUAAUUGGUGGGAGUGUCCCCAAGAGGGACAUGGACCCCCUGUUGAUCCUCUGCCUAAUCACACGAGCCAAGGUGUGAAAACAGGUGUGGGUCACAAUCAGCCAAGGUUUCAAGUGAACUCAGGUUUUCAGACAUUCAGUC